UUUGAAAUUGCAGGCUGCGUCGGGUCCCACGGGAACAGAGCGGCCCAGGCAGGGGCGCGGCUUGCGCAUGGUCAGGUUUGUCCUGGCCAGGGAGACCAGGGCCUGGCCACCAGCUCCGGAGGUCUGAGGCUCCUGGGACGGGACGGUAGCCACUGCUGCUGGGAAGCCAGAGGGUCUGGAGUAGGGUCGGUCACUCCUGGAGGGAACGGUGCUCCCCGGGACACACCCCUAAAUCAGACUGGUGGGAACAGCACCUCUGCAGUUGGACCAAGAGGCAGCCCCGCCCCCGCCAACAAGGAACCAAAACAUCAAAGGGCUAUGUGGCCUCCUUGGAUUUGAGCAGCAGCGAGCGGGCAAACCUGAGUGGAUGAUCCUAGGUGUUUGGUGACCAG
rnacentral:lncRNA from 1 species